rnacentral:rRNA from 1 species
GAUGAACGCUGGCGGCGUGCCUAAUACAUGCAAGUCGAGCGAACGGACGAGAAGCUUGCUUCUCUGAUGUUAGCGGCGGACGGGUGAGUAACACGUGGAUAACCUACCUAUAAGACUGGGAUAACUUCGGGAAACCGGAGCUAAUACCGGAUGAUAUUUUGAACCGCAUGGUUCAAAAGUGAAAGACGGUCUUGCUGUCACUUAUAGAUGGAUCCGCGCUGCAUUAGCUAGUUGGUAAGGUAACGGCUUACCAAGGCAACGAUGCAUAGCCGACCUGAGAGGGUGAUCGGCCAGACGGGGACUGAUACACGGUCCAGACGCCUACGGGAGGCAGCAGUAGGGAAUCUGACGCAAUGGGCGAAAGCCUGACGAAGCAACGCCGCGUGAGUGAUAAAGUGCUUCGGAUCGUAAAACUCUGUUAUUGGGGAAGAACAUAUGUGCAAGUAACUGUGCACAGCUUGAAGGUACCUAAUCAGAAAGCCACGGCUAACUACGUG